rnacentral:rRNA from 1 species
GUGGGGAAUCUUAGACAAUGGGGGAAACCCUGAUCUAGCCAUGCCGCGUGAGCGAUGAAGGCCUUAGGGUUGUAAAGCUCUUUCAGCUGGGAAGAUAAUGACUGUACCCCAAGAAGAAGCCCCGGCUAACUCCGUGCCAGCAGCCGCGGUAAUACGGAGGGGGCUAGCGUUGUUCGGAAUUACUGGGCGUAAAGCGCACGUAGGCGGACUGGAAAGUCAGGGGUGAAAUCCCGGGGCUCAACCCCGGAACUGCCUUUGAAACUCCCAGUCUUGAGUUCGAGAGAGGUGAGUGGAAUUCCGAGUGUAGAGGUGAAAUUCGUAGAUAUUCGGAGGAACACCAGUGGCGAAGGCGGCUCACUGGCUCGAUACUGACGCUGAGGUGCGAAAGCGUGGGGAGCAAACAGGAUUAGAUACCCUAGUAGUCC